UGUCUGCAGGGAAUGCCCCUCCAUGA
rnacentral:piRNA from 1 species